AGGUGAUUAGAUAUACACUCUUCACAGGACUUUGCUCAAUGAACAGGUUUCAUUAAAAAGUUGUCCAAUAGCUACAAUUUGAUUUAUGGUAAAAUGUACAAGAUUAACCAAUGUGUAAAGUAAGGCAUAAGUAAACUACGAUGCUAACACAAUACAUACUCCGCUAUAGAAGUUACCAAAGAUACGACCACGAAGGGACUCGAACCCUCAAUCUUCUGAUUCGAAGUCAGACGCCUUAUCCAUUAGGCCACGCGGUCAUGGUCUUUGUCUUUGUUUUUGUCUUUGUCUUGUUGUAAGAUGGACAGCCUGUCCCAAAUGUUGGCAUGAGAAAGGCGACAAAAAGAUUUCCAACUGUCAUGUAAUCAAACAUUCUCUUGUCAGAUAUCUUGACAGCGAGAUAUUGCCAACUGAAAUUCCUAACCAUUUUCCUAUUAUUCAGAUGUCUAUAGUUGACCAGAACAUCACUGAUGACGCAACAUAGAGGUUAUUUUGCUUGCAACACUUCUGGCAUUUCUGCCUAUUGGGAUAUUAGCAAAGAUACGACCACGAAGGGACUCGAACCCUCAAUCAGACACCUUAUCCAUUAGGCCACGCGGUCUUUUUCUUUGUGUUUGUUUUUGUCUUUGUCUUUGCCUUGUUGUGAGAUGGACAGCCUGUCCAAAAUUUUGGCAUGAGAAAGGCGACAAAAAGAUUUCCAACUGUCAUGUAAUGAAACAUUCUCUUGUCACAUAUCUUGACACCGAGAUAUUGCCAACUGAAAUUCCUAACGAUUUUCCUAUCAUUCAGAUGUCUAUAGUUGACCAGAACAUCACUGAUGACGCAACAUAG
rnacentral:tRNA from 1 species